rnacentral:rRNA from 1 species
UACGUAGGGGGCAAGCGUUGUCCGGAAUCAUUGGGCGUAAAGAGCGUGUAGGCGGCUCGGUAAGUCCGCUCUGAAAGCCCGGGGCUCAACCCCGGGAGGCGGGCGGAUACUGUCGGGCUAGAGUCCGGAAGAGGCGAGUGGAAUUCCUGGUGUAGCGGUGAAAUGCGCAGAUAUCAGGAGGAACACCUAUGGCGAAGGCGGGUCUCUGGGCCGAUACUGACGCUGAGGAGCGAAAGCGUGGGGAGCGAACAGG